UUUCCUGAUUUUUGGCCAAAAAUGCAAUUUCACAGAGUGUUUUUCCACAAAUAUUGCCGACUGACACAUGAAAUUCGAAAUAUUUCGAAAUGAGAAACUAAUCAACGCAGCCCGACUCUGAUUCCCAAAGUUUAGACUCAAAAGUUUAGACUCUAAACUGAAAUACCUGUUCCCCCUGGCAACUGUCGUUUAAAUAUUUUCAAUCAAAGAGCUCCAUGGAAUUGGAAAAUUUGAAUAUUUCGAAAAAUAGUAGGCCACAGCCUUUAGGCGUCAGUGUCGAAACAGAUUCUAGUUCAUUACACCAACGUGUCUUAAUCUUAACACUACAAAAUAAAAAAAAAUAAAAAUACAAAUCAGCAAAGCCCAAAAAAAACAAAAAAAUAAUAAAACUAUACACCAAAAUUAUUUUACACUUAUUCCAAAAUCUGCCUUGAACGAAAUUGCGGUGAAAAUAAUUGGGAAAUUGGUAAGGAAGUUAUUGUCGGCUACAAAGGUAUUCAAGAUUCCCAGUGAGUUCAGAGCUCAGAGCUUGAGGGCAUCGUAGAAGACAUUCUAAGAGUAUCCAAGGUUGAGGGAUCACUCUCUCUCAAGGAGUAUUCAAGGGGAAAGAAGACAUCCCAGAUUCCAUCUCAAGAAUACCCAUAGUUCAGGUCCUUCCUCAAACAAUUCCUAAGAUUAAGAAGCCAAGAGUUCUGCAAACGAGAAAUUACUUUUGAAAGCCUUGGAUUCCGAGAUCCUCCAAUCCUCCAUCAAGGUUCCAAGACACAAGAAAUGGUGUCCAUGACAUCAAAUCAUGGAAAGGACUAUGGACGGAGAGUGAGACCACGCAAAGGAUACAAAGAGGAUACUAGAAGUCAAGCCUAAAACCUGGGAGGCGCAAAAGUACGAGAAUAUUGAAAUGUAGUCGAGAAGACUUCCUGUAACCAAAUUUUGCCUGCUUUACGCCGUAAAUAUUAUGUUUGUCAGCCUA